UACAGCCACAUCACGUUGAAAAAACCAGUUCUCAUCUGAUCACCAAUGUUAAGCAACAAUGAGCUUGGGGUGUAUAUAAAUGGGUAACCACUUUGGAAUAUAAGGUGCUGCAAG